rnacentral:rRNA from 1 species
UACGGGGGGAGCAAGCGUUGUUCGGAUUUACUGGGCGUAAAGGGCGCGUAGGCGGCGUGACAAGUCACUUGUGAAAUCUCCGGGCUUAACUCGGAACGGUCAAGUGAUACUGUCGUGCUAGAGUACAGAAGGGGCAACUGGAAUUCUCGGUGUAGCGGUGAAAUGCGUAGAUAUCGAGAGGAACACCAGUGGCGAAGGCGAGUCCCUGGACAUCUCCUGACACUGAGGCACGAAAGCUAGGGGAGCAAACAGG